AUUUUAAAUUGCCCCCGUUGCUGGUCUUAGCCUGUGGGGAGCCAGACCAGCUCGCGAUUGAGGCUGGGACCAUUACUACCAGUACGAGUGGACCCGCGGGGCACAAGCCUUCCUGUGUUGAACGGAGGACGUACCAGUGGCCCUGGGACCUUAGGUGGUGGGUCGUUUUCACACUUUCUUUUGUACAGCACCGGGUGGGCUGCAGUGAUUUUCGUUUUGUGUGAUUUUCUUUUGGGUCCACGGCUGCUGGUAAGUCCAAGUUCCAUGAUUGUUUUAUUUUCACGUUAAGACACUGUCAACAAUGACGCUACAUUUUGGUUUCUAAUAUUUUAUUUAUUUUUAUUAUAAAUAAACUGUUUUAAUAUUGGAGCCAA